rnacentral:rRNA from 1 species
UACGUAGGGUGCGAGCGUUGUCCGGAAUUAUUGGGCGUAAAGAGCUCGUAGGCGGUGUGUCGCGUCGGCCGUGAAAACCUGCAGCUUAACUGUGGGCUUGCGGUCGAUACGGGCAUCACUGGAGUUCGGCAGGGGAGACUGGAAUUCCUGGUGUAGCGGUGAAAUGCGCAGAUAUCAGGAGGAACACCGAUGGCGAAGGCAGGUCUCUGGGCAUUAACUGACGC